GUGAAAUUGAAAUCGCAGUGAAGAUGCUGUGUACCCGCACCUAGACGGAAAGACCCCGUGAACCUUUACUAUAGCUUCACAGUGAACUUUGAGCAUGUUUGUGUAGGAUAGCUGGGAGGCUUUGAAGUGGGAACGCCAGUUCUCAUGGAGCCAACCUUGAAAUACCAGCCUGACAUGUUUGAGGUUCUAACUUGGUCCCCUUAUCGGGGAUGAGGACACUGUGUGGUGGGUAGUUUGACUGGGGCGGUCUCCUCCCAAAGCGUAACGGAGGAGCACAAAGGUGGGCUAAGCAUGGUCGGACAUCAUGCGGUUAGUGUAAUGGCACAAGCCCGCUUAACUGCGAGACAGACACGUCGAGCAGGUACGAAAGUAGGUCAUAGUGAUCCGGUGGUUCUGUAUGGAAGGGCCAUCGCUCAACGGAUAAAAGGUACUCCGGGG
rnacentral:rRNA from 1 species